CGCGUAGGCGGGAUGGCAAGUCGGUCGUGAAAUCCUUCGGCUCAACCGAAGAACGUCGGCCGAUACUGCCGUUCUUGAGGGAUGCAGAGGAGACUGGAAUUCCCGGUGUAGCGGUGAAAUGUGUAGAGACCGGGAGGAACACCGGUGGCGAAGGCGGGUCUCUGGGCAUCUCCUGACGCUGAGGCGCGAAAGCGUGGGGAGCAAACGGGAUUAGAUACCCCGGUAGUCCACGCCAUAAACGAUGACGACUAGGUGUGGGGUGGUUCAGUCCACUCCGUGCCGCAGCUAACGCAUUAAGUCGUCCGCCUGGGGAGUACGGCCGCAAGGUUGAA
rnacentral:rRNA from 1 species